rnacentral:rRNA from 1 species
UAGGGAAUCUUCGGCAAUGGGGGGAACCCUGACCGAGCAACGCCGCGUGAGUGAAGAAGGUUUUCGGAUCGUAAAGCUCUGUUGUUAAGGAAGAACGAGUGUGAGAAUGGAAAGUUCAUGCUGUGACGGUACUUAACCAGAAAGGGACGGCUAACUACGUGCCAGCAGCCGCGGUAAUACGUAGGUCCCGAGCGUUGUCCGGAUUUAUUGGGCGUAAAGCGAGCGCAGGCGGUUAGAUAAGUCUGAAGUUAAAGGCAGUGGCUCAACCAUUGUAGGCUUUGGAAACUGUUUAACUUGAGUGCAGAAGGGGAGAGUGGAAUUCCAUGUGUAGCGGUGAAAUGCGUAGAUAUAUGGAGGAACACCGGUGGCGAAAGCGGAUCUCUGGUCUGUAACUGACGCUGAGGCUCGAAAGCGUGGGGAGCGAACAGG